rnacentral:rRNA from 1 species
AUUGAACGCUAGCGGGAGGCUUUACACAUGCAAGUCGAACGAGUGGCGGAGGGGUGAGUAAUGUCGGGGUAACUGCAUGAUGGAGGGGGAUGUACACUGGAAAGGGUAUAUAACACCGUAUAAUAUGGUAAGUGCACAGGUGGGAUUCGGUAGUAGGGGGGGAAAAGGCUCACCUAGGCGACGAUCCCUAGGUGGUCUGAGAGGAUGACCAGCCACCCUGGAACUGAGACACGGCCCAGACUCCUACGGGAGGCAGCAGUGGGGAAUAUUGCACAAUGGGCGCAAGCCUGAUGCAGCCAUGCCGCGUGUAUGAAGAAGGCCUUAGGGUUGUAAAGUACUUUCAGCCGGGAGGCGUUACCCACAGAAGAAGCACCGGCUAACUCCGUGCCAGCAGCCGCGGUAAUAC